ensembl:rRNA 5S_rRNA 5S ribosomal RNA
AACCGCCACCGUCUCAGCCUGAAGGCGCCCGAUCUCGUCUGAUCUCGGAAGCUAAGCAGGGUCGGGCCUGGUUAGUAUCUUGGAUGGGAGACCACCUGGGAAUCCCGGGUGCUCGAGGCUU